rnacentral:rRNA from 1 species
AUACGUAGGGGGCGAGCGUUGUCCGGAAUGACUGGGCGUAAAGGGCGCGUAGGCGGUCGCGCAAGUCAGAUGUGAAAUCCCUAGGCUCAACCAAGGGCUUGCAUCUGAAACUGCGUGACUUGAGAGCAGGAGAGGAAAGUAGAAUUCCCGGUGUAGCGGUGAAAUGCGUAGAGAUCGGGAGGAAUACCGGUGGCGAAGGCGACUUUCUGGACUGACUCUGACGCUGAGGCGCGAAAGCUAGGGUAGCGAACGGGAUUAGAUACCCCGGUAGUCCUAGCCGUAAACGAUGGAUACUAGGUGUUGGUGGUUUAGAUACUGUCAGUGCCGCAGUUAACGCAAUAAGUAUCCCGCCUGGGGAGUAUGACCGCAAGGUUAAA